rnacentral:sRNA from 1 species
CCAAGGCCUCAUCGGGUGCGGGUAUCUGGCUGUGGAUUCGCCGCCGUCCCGCUGGACGCCUGGAGGCUCGAACCCCGCCGCCCCCCGACCCCAGGCUUUACUCCCACCCUGGCUUCCGCCCACUGUGCUGCCCUUCCUCGGACCUGGGCUGUCGGGAGAGCUGGAGAUGUUCACCCUUCCUCAGAAGGACUUCAGGGCUCCCACCACCUGUCUGGGCCCCGCCUGCAUGCAGGACCUGGGCAGUAGCCAUGGGGAAGAUCUGGAAGGAGAAUGCUCCAGAAAACUGGACCAGAAGCUACCAGAGCUCCGUGGAGUGGGUGAUCCUGCCAUGAUCUCCUCUGAUACCUCCUACCUGUCCUCUAGAGGAAGAAUGAUUAAAUGGUUCUGGGAUUCAGCUGAGGAGGGCUACAGGACCUACCACAUGGAUGAGUAUGAUGAGGACAAGAACCCCAGUGGCAUCAUUAACUUGGGCACCAGUGAGAACAAACUCUGCUUUGACCUGCUGUCCUGGCGGCUGAGUCAGAGCGACAUGCAGAGGGUGGAGCCAUCCCUGCUGCAGUAUGCUGACUGGAGGGGACAUCUGUUGUAAGUAGUUGCCAUAGGCCUCCGGGAGGAAGUGGCCAAGUUCCUGUCUUUCUACUGCAAGAGCCCAGUACCCCUCAGACCAGAGAAUGUGGUUGUCCUGAAUGGUGGUGCCUCGCUCUUCUCUGCUCUGGCCACGGUGCUGUGUGAGGCCGGGGAGGCUUUCCUGAUCCCCACCCCUUACUAUGGCGCUAUCACACAGCACGUGUGUCUCUAUGGCAACAUCCGGCUGGCCUAUGUCUACCUGGACAGUGAGGUAAGAGUCUUGACUUCCCAGGUGGAACCUGGGCCUGCCUGUGGUCAAGAGUUUCCUGAGUCUGAAUUU